rnacentral:tRNA from 1 species
CCAUCGGUGGUUCAGUGGUAGGAUGCUCGCCUGCCACGCGGGCGACUCGGGUUCGAUUCCCGGCCGAUGCA